rnacentral:rRNA from 1 species
GACGAACGCUUGCGGCGUGCUUAACAUAUGCAAGUCGAACGGAAAGGCCCUGCUUUUGUGGGGUGCUCGAGUGGCGAACGGGUGAGUAACACGUGAGUAACCUGCCCUUGACUUUGGGAUAACUUCAGGAAACUGGGGCUAAUACCGGAUAGGAGCUCCUGCUGCAUGGUGGGGGUUGGAAAGUUUCGGCGGUUGGGGAUGGACUCGCGGCUUAUCAGCUUGUUGGUGGGGUAGUGGCUUACCAAGGCUUUGACGGGUAGCCGGCCUGAGAGGGUGACCGGCCACAUUGGGACUGAGAUACGGCCCAGACUCCUACGGGAGGCAGCAGUGGGGAAUAUUGCACAAUGGGCGGAAGCCUGAUGCAGCAACGCCGCGUGCGGGAUGACGGCCUUCGGGUUGUAAACCGCUUUCGCCUGUGACGAAGCGUGAGUGACGGUAAUGGGUAAAGAAGCACCGGCUAACUACGUGCCAGCAGCCGCGGUGAUACGUAGGGUGCGAGCGUUGUCCGGAUUUAUUGGGCGUAAAGGGCUCGUAGGUGGUUGAUCGCGUCGGAAGUGUAAUCUUGGGGCUUAACCCUGAGCGUGCUUUCGAUACGGGUUGACUUGAGGAAGGUAGGGGAGAAUGGAAUUCCUGGUGGAGCGGUGGAAUGCGCAGAUAUCAGGAGGAACACCAGUGGCGAAGGCGGUUCUCUGGGCCUUUCCUGACGCUGAGGAGCGAAAGCGUGGGGAGCGAACAGGCUUAGAUACCCUGGUAGUCCACGCUGUAAACGGUGGGUACUAGGUGUGGGGUCCAUUCCACGGGUUCCGUGCCGUAGCUAACGCUUUAAGUACCCCGCCUGGGGAGUACGGCCGCAAGGCUAAAACUCAAAGGAAUUGACGGGGCCCCGCACAAGCGGCGGAGCAUGCGGAUUAAUUCGAUGCAACGCGUAGAACCUUACCUGGGUUUGACAUGGAUCGGGAGUGCUCAGAGAUGGGUGUGCCUCUUUUGGGGUCGGUUCACAGGUGGUGCAUGCCUGUCGUCAGCUCGUGUCGUGAGAUGUUGGGUUAAGUCCCGCAACGAGCGCAACCCUUGUUCACUGUUGCCAGCACGUUAUGGUGGGGACUCAGUGGAGACCGCCGGGGUCAACUCGGAGGAAGGUGGGGAUGACGUCAAGUCAUCAUGCCCCUUAUGUCCAGGGCUUCACGCAUGCUACAAUGGCUGGUACAGAGAGUGGCGAGCCUGUGAGGGUGAGCGAAUCUCGGAAAGCCGGUCUCAGUUCGGAUUGGGGUCUGCAACUCGACCUCAUGAAGUCGGAGUCGCUAGUAAUCGCAGAUCAGCAACGCUGCGGUGAAUACGUUCCCGGGGCU